CAGUCGCCGCGGGAAUACGUAGGUCCCGAGCGUUGUCCGGAUUUAUUGGGCGUAAAGCGAGCGCAGGCGGUUAAAUAGGUCUGAAGUUAAAGGCUGUGGCUUAACCAUAGUACGCAUUGGAAACUGCUUAACUUGAGUGCAAGAGGGGAGAGUGGAAUUCCAUGUGUAGCGGUGAAAUGCGUAGAUAUAUGGAGGAACACCGGUGGCGAAAGCGGCUCUCUGGCUUGUAACUGACGCUGAGGCUCGAAAGCGUGGGGAGCAAACAGGAUUAGAGACCCCCGUAGUCCCUGUCUCUUAUACA
rnacentral:rRNA from 1 species